GAUGAACGCUGGCGGCGUGCCUAAUACAUGCAAGUCGAGCGAACGGACGAGAAGCUUGCUUCUCUGAUGUUAGCGGCGGACGGGUGAGUAACACGUGGAUAACCUACCUAUAAGACUGGGAUAACUUCGGGAAACCGGAGCUAAUACCGGAUAAUAUUUUGAACCGCAUGGUUCAAAAGUGAAAGACGGUCUUGCUGUCACUUAUAGAUGGAUCCGCGCUGCAUUAGCUAGUUGGUAAGGUAACGGCUUACCAAGGCAACGAUGCAUAGCCGACCUGAGAGGGUGAUCGGCCACACUGGAACUGAGACACGGUCCAGACUCCUACGGGAGGCAGCAGUAGGGAAUCUUCCGCAAUGGGCGAAAGCCUGACGGAGCAACGCCGCGUGAGUGAUGAAGGUCUUCGGAUCGUAAAACUCUGUUAUUAGGGAAGAACAUAUGUGUAAGUAACUGUGCACAUCUUGACGGUACCUAAUCAGAAAGCCACGGCUAACUACGUGCCAGCAGCCGCGGUAAUACGUAGGUGGCAAGCGUUAUCCGGAAUUAUUGGGCGUAAAGCGCGCGUAGGCGGUUUUUUAAGUCUGAUGUGAAAGCCCACGGCUCAACCGUGGAGGGUCAUUGGAAACUGGAAAACUUGAGUGCAGAAGAGGAAAGUGGAAUUCCAUGUGUAGCGGUGAAAUGCGCAGAGAUAUGGAGGAACACCAGUGGCGAAGGCGACUUUCUGGUCUGUAACUGACGCUGAUGUGCGAAAGCGUGGGGAUCAAACAGGAUUAGAUACCCUGGUAGUCCACGCCGUAAACGAUGAGUGCUAAGUGUUAGGGGGUUUCCGCCCCUUAGUGCUGCAGCUAACGCAUUAAGCACUCCGCCUGGGGAGUACGACCGCAAGGUUGAAACUCAAAGGAAUUGACGGGGGCCCGCACAAGCGGUGGAGCAUGUGGUUUAAUUCGAAGCAACGCGAAGAACCUUACCAAAUCUUGACAUCCUUUGACAACUCUAGAGAUAGAGCUUUCCCCUUCGGGGGACAAAGUGACAGGUGGUGCAUGGUUGUCGUCAGCUCGUGUCGUGAGAUGUUGGGUUAAGUCCCGCAACGAGCGCAACCCUUAAGCUUAGUUGCCAUCAUUAAGUUGGGCACUCUAAGUUGACUGCCGGUGACAAACCGGAGGAAGGUGGGGAUGACGUCAAAUCAUCAUGCCCCUUAUGAUUUGGGCUACACACGUGCUACAAUGGACAAUACAAAGGGCAGCGAAACCGCGAGGUCAAGCAAAUCCCAUAAAGUUGUUCUCAGUUCGGAUUGUAGUCUGCAACUCGACUACGUGAAGCUGGAAUCGCUAGUAAUCGUAGAUCAGCAUGCUACGGUGAAUACGUUCCCGGGUCU
rnacentral:rRNA from 1 species